rnacentral:lncRNA from 1 species
AGUGCUGAAAUCAAUAUUCCAGAGCACCUGCAGCAGCAUCAGUGUCCUUUCUCCCUCCUUACAGGGGGACUGAGGUGCUCUGCUGCUGCCUUCUGCAUCUGAGCCAAAUCAGGAGUAAGUGCUACAAAGAGGGCAGAGAGCAGAUUUAUUCCUGUGUAAUUGGUGUCAGGUUUGACUGGGGAAGGAGAGGCAAAUGACAGGAGGAAACCACAGCCUGUGCUCUUGGGUACUGUCCUGCAGGAUGAUUACUCACCCUGGGAAAUCCCAUCUCCAGAGGGCUCAUACUGGAAAACCCCAGUGGGGCUGGAGCACUUCAGCUUUGAGACCAGAAUGACGUAAGAGGAUGGAUGUAUUGGAGAAAAAUACAAUUAAACACCAAAUAUGUGGAAAUGUACUUGAGGUAAUAAGCAAAAUGCUGGAGUAAGGACACAGGGACCACUGGUGUCCUCUGGCACUGCCUAAGGAAUUUUUCAGCUUUGUGACAAGUUUGGUGCCUGAGAUUCUUGGAGUUCAAGGUGGUGGGUGUGCAUAUCUGGG